UGGAAUUUUGGACAUGGGGGCACCCUGAUCCAGCCAUGCCGCGUGAGUGAAGAAGGCCUUCGGGUUGUAAAGCUCUUUCGGCCGGGAAGAAAUCGCACAGGUUAAUACCCUGUGUGGAUGACGGUACCGGACUAAGAAGCACCGGCUAACUACGUGCCAGCAGCCGCGGUAAUACGUAGGGUGCGAGCGUUAAUCGGAAUUACUGGGCGUAAAGCGUGCGCAGGCGGUUUUGUAAGACAGAUGUGAAAUCCCCGGGCUCAACCUGGGAACUGCGUUUGUGACUGCAAGGCUAGAGUACGGCAGAGGGGGGUGGAAUUCCACGUGUAGCAGUGAAAUGCGUAGAGAUGUGGAGGAACACCGAUGGCGAAGGCAGCCCCCUGGGCCGAUACUGACGCUCAUGCACGAAAGCGUGGGGAGCAAACAGGAUUAGAUACCCUGGUAGUCCACGCCCUAAACGAUGUCAACUAGGUGUUGGGUGGGUAAAACCAUUUAGUACCGUAGCUAACGCGUGAAGUUGACCGCCUGGGGAGUACGGCCGCAAGGUUAAAACUCAAAGGAAUUGACGG
rnacentral:rRNA from 1 species